CCGUUGGCCCCUCGCGACGCUAGUUCGAAAACCCCGCCAGGGCCGGAAGGCAGCAACGGUAUCGGAUGAUGCGGGCGCCGAGGAUCGUCGGCGGAGC
rnacentral:SRP_RNA from 6 species